UGGUCACACUCAUUCAGCAACAGCAGCACCACCACCACCACCAGCAGCAGCGGACAGCCCUGAGGAGGGCACCAACUGUUCUGAUCUCUUGAAGAGCUCCUCAGGCAACCUUCUGUUUCUAGCAAGAUGAUACACCCAAGCCUUGAUGACAAGGCUUGGCUCUCAACCUCCUUGCUCCCCACCUCCUGUGAAAUACACAAAGAAAUUCAGUGAUCAUCGGGGAUGCUCUGGUCCAAACACUACCUGCCAGCCAGACGCAGGAGAUGGAUGGCUCAGCAGUAAUCGUGCUGCUUGAGCUUGGUGUCUAAUGGGGACAGUAGUGACAGGAAGUUCACAGGGACUGGAAGACAUGAGUUCUCUGAGGGAAAGGAAGGUGAAGCCUGGUGCUUAGGACCCUCAGGAGACCAUAGGAUGUGAGAAGGCUCAAGACACCCAGAGGUGGGGUCAGAAACAGGGCAAAGGAGACCAAGCAUGGGAGAGCUGCAGUGGACGUGUACAGACAGGAGAAGCAGGCCCUAAAGAAUCCCUGAGGCGGCAGAGAGGCUGGGCUGUGGAACUUUUUAAUUACUUUGCAUUAGGGGACUGUAGAGACCCAGAAGCCCACCCUUCCCCUCCCCUCAUCAGCUUAGCCCCAACAUAUGGUGGCUACCAAAGUAGUUAAAUCGGCUCUUGGUAGAAAAGGAAAGAGAUUCCUCCCAGGCUCUUCCCAGGGUCCACGGCCACACUCCAGGAGGGCUCAACUCCAGGGCAAGGCAGCUGGGACAGCAGGCAGCUGAAGGAGGACUAUUACUGCACCUUAGGGAAGAGUGCAGUGGCGAGUGGGGAGGACUCUGCUGGGACCCGGGGGUCAUGUGCAUUCCCAUUUAGUUGAGCUCUGCUUAAUCCGGGCCUAGGCUCACAGUAAUGGGGAACGAGGAGAGGCUCCCAUCAGAGACCAAGAAGAUGACAGACUCUCUGUAAAGGCUGUCAGAGGGGUCUGCAUGACCAACCACACCUGCUCCUGUUCCUUUGGGGCUCUUGUGACCUCCCUGUCUUCUUGUGAGAUCUUAUGUUCCUCCAACCCUGAGAGCUACAAACCAAUCUCCGGAAUAAAAAAAUCUGUCCCUCGU
rnacentral:lncRNA from 7 species